GUUGAAGAAGGCCACCGACACGAAGGGGGUGAAGAACUCGAAGGUGGAGGCGCACAGAAGGAAGUACCAGAUGAAGUCGAGGCACGGGAGGAAGGCUACCCAGGGAGCAGAACGUGGCGACUAUGAAAAAAAAUAAUGCGCACAAUUAUUUUGAUUGAUACGAUUAAUAAACAUGAUUAUCCACCGGUCUCUAAACUUAAUUUAUUCAACUUCCAAAAAUCUACUUGAAAUACAUCUUGACAGAACAAUAAGAAAAUAAAUUAGUAGCAAAAAUGUAAAUACGGCAUUAGCAAGAAACUGCGGUGUGCACCUUGGCCUCUAAGGGGCAGUGUGGUGCUGUGAAUGCAGGGAGUACUUGAAUCUAGACAGGAGUAAGACAAAAGCUGAAAAUUAGGUUUUUUACAGAUGAGGAAGGAAAUGUAACCUUUCAUUGUUGCUAAAUUAUCUGUGUGUAUGUGUUUCCGCAGCGUUUGUGUGAAAAUAUUCAUAAUUUGAAGGAAUAUCACUCCCGGAACUUGAUGCUAAUUUUCUAAAAGCAUGUCAAUUGGAUUUUACCUUCACUGCUAGCAUUAGCACGACCAAUGUUUCUGAAACAACGUAUGUCGUGUAAUUAAAUAUACAGUAUGUGAAAUUCUUUUUGUUGUGUGUUUAGUCUUACAUUUAACUCCACCUGGGGUGUCAUUAAACAGCCAAAAAGCAGAAUGAGGAAGGGUAAAAUAAACACACGUCACACGCUAACUACACACGCAAGACAGUGCAUUCAGGGUGCUUUCACCACGCAAGAACUUGCAACACACCCUGCAUUUCGGUACUGUUGUCAUGAUUGUGAGAAGCCAAAAUUGAAACCAUGAUUAAAUUUGGAUUAAUUUUCCAUCCUUACCGAAGAAUAUUUAUCAGGAUGGGCUGCAGGCAACUGGAAAGAGUGGCGUAAAAAGCAUCGUAUGCCGUGCGCUCUUCGUGACCCCACCGCACCUGGAAAUGUUUGCACUUGCGGAUAAACAGUUGAAUUGGCUUGGCGCAAGCUAGCUAGUACAACAGAACAUGGAAGGAUUUCAAACUUUACCGAAAGAAGGCAAACAAUCCGGGUUCUGUCGUUGGCUUGUGUACAGCGAGGCAUAAAAUAUAUAUUUUUUUUCAUUUAAAGUGAUUUAAAAGGAAAAGCUUCCGGUAAGUUGAAGCGGCUGCACGUCGGCCGCAUAUGCGCACUCUUGCUCCGCCAUGUCUCAGCAGCCCAUGCAUUACGUAUUUCACGGUAUUUUUUUUAAAUGGCAUCUACUUUUAACACCCAGGCGGUGUGUGUCUCUGGGGAGCAAAAAUUGUGCGUGGGAAGCCGUUGUGAUGUGUUUGUGUCUUUUAUCAUUUGUCUUGUGAAGCCCUUUGUGUUGCAUUUUAUGUAUGAAAGGUGCCAUAUAAAAAGACGUGUAAAGGUUUG